AAAUAAUAUUUCUUAAGGUUUGUGAACUUCCUUUUUUAAAUGUUCUUAUACUAAAAACAAUAAAAAUAAAUUAUUAAAGGGAGUGUUAGGAGUCUGCCAAUAAAAUGAAAUUAAUUGAGGAUAUUUCACAUGAGUUUCUAAAUAAAGUAAAGUUAAAAACACUUACAUUAACAUAAUUAUGUCAGAAUUCCCUAGGGACUGGUACAUAAAUUCACAUAGGAUCAGAAGCUCAAGUAUUAAACAAAAUAAGAAUAAUAGACCUGCCUCUCAAAAGGAGCUUAUGUUUAGUAAAUGAUGAAAUUUGAGUACCAAUAUU
rnacentral:lncRNA from 1 species